GUCGGGAUCUGAAUGAGUAUAUUUUAUUUUCAUUUCCCCUGUCGACUGUCGUAAAGUUCCUAGUAAUGCAAUAUAAAAUUCUACUGAAUCAGAUAUAAUUUUAUUUCGUCCUGCACAUGGAAUUUCACUCAUAUGAAUUAAUAUCAAUAUCGUCUGAUUUUCACAUCAAACGAGCAUAUACUUGAAACUUGCGUGAACAGGUUCCAUGUGAAUCGUAUGAUAAUAG
rnacentral:lncRNA from 1 species